ACCGAAAGCUUUUGCGUCUUAUUACAACUUUCCGUACUUUCCGUCCAGGCAUUAAGGAAGGGGAUAGACAGGAAUGACAGAAAUGGAAGUCUGGAUUCGUGACUUUGGCCCGAGGGCUUUGCCUUCCAGUUUGAUGAAAUUGUUUGUGCGCAUUUGUAUUCCCUGCCCCGGGCAAUGAGUGUAAAUAAAUGGUAAAGAUUAAGUUGAGAUUAUCAGUAAUAAAGAAAUUAAUUUAGUCUAUCGAA